CAGAAUAACCGGUCAAUCGCGUUUUCCGAAAGGUAAUGAGGAAAGUCCGGGCUUCGCAGGGUAGGGUGCUGGAUAACGUCCAGGCUUAAUAGAAGCAAUUCUAUUAGGACAGAUAGUGCAACAGAAAGUAUACCGCCGAGCAAUCGGUAAGGGUGAAAAAGUGUGGUAAGAGCACACUAAUGAACUGGCGACAGUUUCAUUCGGUAAACCUCACUCGAAGCAAGAUUAAACAGAGGGAGAAGUGACCCGCUUCGUUAUUUUACCUCGGGUAAAUCGCUAGAGGCUGGGAGUAAUCCUAGUCCAAGAUAGAUGAUUGACGCUUCUUUUUAAGAAGUACAGAACCCGGCUUAUAGGUUAUUCUGCUUA
rnacentral:RNase_P_RNA from 1 species